GACGAACGCUGGCGGCAUGCCUAAUACAUGCAAGUCGAGCGAACGGAUGAAGUGCUUGCACUUCUGACGUUAGCGGCGAACGGGUGAGUAACACGUAAGGAAUCUACCUAUAAGCGGGGGAUAACAUUCGGAAACGGGUGCUAAUACCGCAUAAUAUCUUCUUCCGCAUGGAAGAAGAUUGAAAGACGGCCCUGCUGUCACUUAUAGAUGACCUUGCGGUGCAUUAGUUAGUUGGUGGGGUAAUGGCCUACCAAGACGAUGAUGCAUAGCCGACCUGAGAGGGUGAUCGGCCACAUUGGGACUGAGACACGGCCCAAACUCCUACGGGAGGCAGCAGUAGGGAAUCUUCCGCAAUGGGCGAAAGCCUGACGGAGCAAUGCCGCGUGAGUGAAGAAGGCCUUCGGGUCGUAAAACUCUGUUAUAAGAGAAGAACAAAUUGUAGAGUAACUGCUACAGUCUUGACGGUAUCUUAUCAGAAAGCCACGGCUAACUACGUGCCAGCCGCCGCCGUAA
rnacentral:rRNA from 1 species